AAGAACCUCAUGAGGAAGGCAGGCGCUGUGGGAUCAUGGAGGAGAGCCCCGUGGGACACGCCAAGGGUGAGUGCUCAUCACUGCGAGGAGCCAAGGGCACUGACUGCACCCUCCCGCAGGGCUGUGGCUUCACAGGGUCUCCAGAGCCGGGGACAUUCCCUUUUACACACCGCAUCCGUUUCCUUGGACCAGGUGGUGUUAGAGGUGUUGAAGAGCAAGCUGGGAGACAGCAGGGACCUCGGCUCAGAGCGCAGAGCCGCUGUCCCUGCGAUGCUGCCUGCAGCCUGGCAGUGUCUCCUGCAGAUUCCUCUGCAGAGGCUGCCUGGGGACACUGCUCCUCUUCCCCUGCUGGUAUUAAAGGGCCCAUGAAAGGGGGCGAGGAGCCUGCCCACCCCCAGGGCAGGCAGCUCUGCUGGUGGACGCGGAGGAAGCAGCGGGCGGGACGGCUCUGCACUGGAAGAAGGAGGCAGGGAGAGGGGGAAGCAUCGC